UCGCGGUGGCGGAGCGUCGUUUGCGACGCCCAACACACAAAACAAGCGGUGAGUGCUUUGGGGUGGGGUGACUGCGUACCUUUUGUAUAAUGGGUCAGCGACUUAUAUUCUGUAGCAAGGUUAACCGUAUAGGGGAGCCGUAGGGAAACCGAGUCUUAACCGGGCGUUAAGUUGCAGGGUAUAGACCCGAAACCCGGUGAUCUAGCCAUGGGCAGGUUGAAGGUUGGGUAACACUAACUGGAGGACCGAACCGACUAAUGUUGAAAAAUUAGCGGAUGACCUGUGGCUGGGGGUGAAAGGCCAAUCAAACCGGGAGAUAGCUGGUUCUCCCCGAAAGCUAUUUAGGUAGCGCCUCGUGAAUUCAUCUCCGGGGGUAGAGCACUGUUUCGGCUAGGGGGCCAUCCCGGCUUACCAACCCGAUGCAAACUGCGAAUACCGGAGAAUGUUAUCACGGGAGACACACGGCGGGUGCUAACGUCCGUCGUGAAGAGGGAAACAACCCAGACCGCCAGCUAAGGUCCCAAAGUCAUGGUUAAGUGGGAAACGAUGUGGGAAGGCCCAGACAGCCAGGAUGUUGGCUUAGAAGCAGCCAUCAUUUAAAGAAAGCGUAAUAGCUCACUGGUCGAGUCGGCCUGCGCGGAAGAUGUAACGGGGCUAAACCAU
rnacentral:rRNA from 1 species